AGCCCCGUGGUGUAGCGGCCAAGCAUUGAAGCCUUUGGAGCUUCAGACGGCGGUUCGAAUCCGCCCGGGGCUA
rnacentral:tRNA from 1 species